rnacentral:rRNA from 1 species
AACGAACGUUGAUGGCGUGCCUCAUACAUGCAAGUCGAGCGCGUAGCAAUACGAGCGGCGAACGGGUGAGCAACGCGUGAACAAUCUGCCUCGAAGUGGGGGAUAACCAUUCCAACGGAUGGCUAAUACCGCAUAGCGAUGCGAGAAGGCAUCUUCUUGCAUCAAAAGAUUUAUUGCUUCGAGAUGAGUUCGCGUCCCAUUAGCUUGUUGGCGGUGUAACGGACCACCAAGGCGACGAUGGGUAUCCGGCCUGAGAGGGUGUACGGACACAUUGGGACUGAGAUACGGCCCAGACUCCUACGGGAGGCAGCAGUAGGGAAUUUUGCGCAAUGGGCGAAAGCCUGACGCAGCAACGCCAUGUGUGGGAUGAAGCAUUUCGGUGUGUAAACCACUGUCAGCAGGGAAUAACAACCGCUUCGGCGGCCAUGAAUGUACCUGCAGAGGAAGCCCCGGCAAACUUCGUG